UGGGGAAUUUUGGACAAUGGGCGAAAGCCUGAUCCAGCAAUGCCGCGUGUGUGAAGAAGGCCUUUGGGUUGUAAAGCACUUUUGUCCGGAAAGAAAUCCUUGGCUCUAAUACAGUCGGGGGAUGACGGUACCGGAAGAAUAAGCACCGGCUAACUACGUGCCAGCAGCCGCGGUAAUACGUAGGGUGCAAGCGUUAAUCGGAAUUACUGGGCGUAAAGCGUGCGCAGGCGGUUUGCUAAGACCGAUGUGAAAUCCCCGGGCUCAACCUGGGAACUGCAUUGGUGACUGGCAGGCUAGAGUAUGGCAGAGGGGGGUAGAAUUCCACGUGUAGCAGUGAAAUGCGUAGAGAUGUGGAGGAAUACCGAUGGCGAAGGCAGCCCCCUGGGCCAAUACUGACGCUCAUGCACGAAAGCGUGGGGAGCAAACAGGAUUAGAUACCCUGGUAGUCCACGCCCUAAAACGAUGUCAACUAGUUGUUGGGGAUUCAUUUCCUUAGUAACGUAGCUAACGCGUGAAGUUGACCGCCUGGGGAGUACGGUCGCAAGAUUAAAACUCAAAUGAAUUGACGGGGUCAUAGCUGUUUCCU
rnacentral:rRNA from 1 species